AAUAAAUAAACAUAAACUAACAGAUGGGUAUAGGUUAGAUAGAUAAAAUGGUGAU
rnacentral:guide_RNA from 1 species